GGUGGGUUGUCCGAGUGGUUAAGGAGUGUGACUUAAGAUGUUAAAUUAACAUGUUGUAUUCACAUGGACGUAAGUCUUCGCGCGUUCGAACCGCGCACCCACCA